GAGUUUGAUCCUGGCUCAGGACGAACGCUGGCGGCGCGCUUAACACAUGCAAGUCGAACGCUUCUGUGCCCUUCGGGGUGCAGGGGAGUGGCGAACGGGUGCGUAACACGUGAGCGACCUGCCUUCAUCCGGGGGAUAACCGGGGGAAACCCCGGCUAAUACCGCAUUUGCCGUCUGCCUGCAUGGGCGGAGGGUGAAAGGUCUUCGGGCCGGGUGAAGAGGGGCUCGCGGCGUAUCAGCUAGCUGGUGGGGUAACGGCCCACCAGGGCGACGACGCGUAGCCGGUCUGAGAGGAUGAUCGGCCACAUUGGGACUGAGAUACGGCCCAGACUCCUACGGGAGGCAGCAGUGGGGAAUCUUGCGCAAUGGGCGAAAGCCUGACGCAGCGACGCCGCGUGGGGGAGGAAGGUCUUCGGAUUGUAAACCCCUGUCAGGUGGGACGAACGGCGAAAGCCCUGACGGUACCACCAGAGGAAGCACCGGCUAACUCCGUGCCAGCAGCCGCGGUAAUACGGAGG
rnacentral:rRNA from 1 species